GACGAACGCUGGCGGCGUGCCUAAUACAUGCAAGUAGAACGCUGAAGGAGGAGCUUGCUUCUCUGGAUGAGUUGCGAACGGGUGAGUAACGCGUAGGUAACCUGCCUGGUAGCGGGGGAUAACUAUUGGAAACGAUAGCUAAUACCGCAUAAGAGUAGCUGUUGCAUGAUAUUUGCUUAAAAGGUGCAAUUGCAUCACUACCAGUUGGACCUGCGUUGUAUUAGCUAGUUGGUGGGGUAACGGCUCACCAAGGCGACGAUACAUAGCCGACCUGAGAGGGUGCGCGGCCGCACUGAGACUGAGACACGGCCCAUACUGCUACGGGAGGCAGCAGUAGGGAAUCUUCGGCAAUGGACGGAAGUCUGACCGAGCAACGCCGCGUGAGUGAAGAAGGUUUUCGGAUCGUAAAGCUCUGUUGUAAGGGAAGAACGAGUGUGAGAGUGGAAAGUUCACACUGUGACGGUAGCUUACCAGAAAGGGACGGCUAACUACGUG
rnacentral:rRNA from 1 species